GUAGUUCCUCGGGUAGAGGAGAAGUGAUCACGUGAUCGGCUAGUUGUGUUGUUUGUGGCGUCAGAUAUAACCAAAUCCCUAUCUCUAAGCCUAAUCCUUACCCUCACCCUAACCCUUACCCUAACCCUUACCCUAACCUCAAAACUAAUCGCUAUAACUAACUGAUGACGUAGUCUGUGAUGCAAAUUCUUCUACCCGAGGAUGUACCCCAUCUCCCGCUAUGAUUAGGCUUACCCUCUUCGCAAUCACAACUAGGAAAUGCGUGUUUAUAAUAAUCAUUUAGUAAUUGGCCUGGGAAGUUCAUGUAAUAUACCCUUCCGGAACGUACGUCACGUAGAAUAUAGAGAUUCGCAGUGGUAGUAACGAAGUAAAUGUACUUCGUUACCGUACUUGAGUACUAUUUUUGAGAAGUGAGCAUGUAACAAAGUAAACUUUUUCUGGAGUACUUUUACUUGGAACGAAG